GGUGGCUCAGUGAUAGAGCACUUGCCUUGCAUGCAUGAGGCCCUGGGUUUGAUUCCUCUGCACCA
rnacentral:tRNA from 1 species